UAUGACUGUACUUAGAAGUCUGUGGGUAUAAGGUAGACUUAAGAACACUUUAUUUGGAGUGAGCUCUUCCUAAGAGCUGGAACUGUUUGGCCCAGCUUUUUAUGUGACUGUGAUACUCUGGUUUCUCUUCAGAUCGUAUAAAUCUUUCGCCUUUUUUAUGUGACUGUGAGUCUGUUUAUAACCAAGCUAUAGCUGAAAUCUUGUGUUCUACUAAUUGCUAUAGCAAAUAAGAAUGAAACUUUGGAUGGUACAGGGCAGUAAAUAUAUCCAUUUCUAUUUUUCUUCCUUUUUGUCGCUGUAUUUUCAAACAUAUAUUGAGACCCAUUAAAGCCAGUGACUUGCAUUAAAACAACAGCAACCUAAGAUCCUUUAGGCUUCUAAGAGCUAGUGCCUUGAAGCCUGCUUUAUAUAAUUUCAUGUGACCUGGUGGUUGUGUUGCAGUGUGGAUCAGAUGAGUCUCCCAAGCAAAGAUCUGGAGAAAAUUCCCUGAUCUGUGCUUGAGGGAAUUGCCAGAUUAACUGGCAGGAGGCCCAGAACAGAUGGUUAUAAUAGUGUUUUCUGAGCAGCAUCUAUGGAACUGUAUGUUUGUACAAAUGGAACCAGCCCGCUCCUUGAAAUAAUUCCCCCCUCAUAUGGCUACCAUCAUCACACAAAUACAUCAAUAGUAAAAUUCUACAGCUAUCUCCUGAACAAACUCAAAAAAAAUCUACAUGUUUUCUGCUGUUUGCUCUUAAGAACUGAUGAGCUUAAAGCCAAUCAGAUCCACAGUGGCUUUAUCUCGCCCUACAUUAAGGCGCCUCCAGUGUCUCUUGAGGUUACUGAUGCUGAUUCAUCAGACAAGGCAUUUUGCCCACAAAUGCUUGUAGACUCUUUGUUACCAGAGCAGCAUCACUGGACCUUUGUACAAAAAGAAGUCAAGUCUCCCUCAUCUUGCUGCAAGAGCUGCUUUGCUGUGUUCUGAUUUAUAGUGACCUCGGAGAGAGGUGGUCUGUCACUUUUCACCUGCAAGUAGUCUGUAACAUGAUUUAGUUACAUAUUUAAUUGAACAGCACCCAGAAGAAGUUUUCACAUCUCUGAAGGUAGCUGAAAUCAUUAAUCAGAAAACUUCAAAGUGUGUGACACUUAUGACGAUGAAAGGAAGCAUAACACUUUAGUUGGCCACAGAUCAGAUGGUGCUUGUUUCCAGAAAACAUUUGGUCUCUUCUAUUGUUUCCAGUGAAACACAUGAUGCAGCCAUCCAUUUCUAGCAUCAUCAGAUCAAUGUGCUUUCCCUUUGUAUGUUGUUGUAUUUUGGGUGGUCACCCAAGCAUGUAAGGGGCAUUCUGCAGCGAUUAUAAAAGAUCAACCCAUGGGAUGACAGUAGAGGGUGAUUUACCAUUGCUGUGGCAUCUAGAUUCUGUAUAGCGGUAUUGCAUGGAGAGAACAGGUAGCCAAAAAAAUGUCCACAGUCAAGAAGAAAAUUAAGAUUUAAUGAAAGGGCCAGAAAGCAAAGCAUAAGGAAGUGUUUUAAUUUGGCAUGCGUGACCCUUUGCAGUAGUUCAUGUGUUCCUACCCAAAGUGAGCUGCAGGGAAAAGUUUAUGUUUCUGAGAGGGCCUCACUUAGAAGGCCCUCAGCUCAGUCAAAGACAUGAGGAUGGGAUAACUUGCAAGGGAGGAGAUGAAAUGCGCUUCACACAUUCCACAGCACCAUGCAAGAUUGUCUCUGUGUUUCAGGUCACUUUCUCCUACUUCCCAUGCCACACCAUGUUUGCCUUCCAUUUGUCAUGUAAUGUGCCGCCACCACCACCUCUUCUCUCUUCCAACCUUAAGAUGUUCUCUUUCCCUUCCUCCUCCCAUGCUUAAGUAUGCACCGUUUAUGGCAAGACUUUUAUGUACCACAAGCACAGUACUAGAUUGCUCCACUGUUCCAUUUCAGCUUAUAUGUUUGAUUUCUACCUAUAUCUAGGUAGAUACUAAACAGUCCAAAACAGCUGGGUAGAAGAAAAGGAAGAUUACAGGAUCACCUGUUGUUGCCUGCUACCACCCAUAAUAAGACCAGACGACCAAAGAUGUCAAUAGUAUUGCCAGCAAUAAACAUCAGUGAGAAAAUAAUCAAUGGCCAAGACUACGAAGUUAUGAUGCAGAUAGACUGUGAAGUGAUGGACACCAGGAUCUUGCACAUCAAAAGCUCCUCCAUCCCUCUUUACCUUCGAGACCAUCAGAGGAACCAUACAACAUCCUUCUACAGCUCUCCUCCAACUGUCCCAGAGGCAGCUCCUGCUGUGAGAGCAAUCACAGAAUCAUCACAGUAGGCUCCCAAUGUCAGGCUUAAUACCCUGGAAUGACCAAUUGGCCUGGUUGCUUCUUAAUGGGUUUGGCAUGGCAGCUUUAUGGGCAGUGUCCUCCCUCAGUCAAGAGUCUAUCACAGUCAACAUGAGGCUGUCAAAUAAGCCUCUAAGACUACUAACCCAAUCCGUCCCCACUGCUUUGUACCAUUGCUACUGUUCCAGUAACAUGCAGGUUGCUUUUAAAACAUUACUUGGUUGUAUAAAAAUAGGUGAGGUGGGCUUUUGGUUGUUUUGAUUUGAUCGAUGGCAAAAGUAGAGGGGGAGAGAAAACAAGGAGCUCCCAGCUGUGGUGAUGUGGAUUGCAGAUGAAGGUCUCCCAAGGCAGCUUGCUUCUGGUGCUUCAGAUGUUUAAUUCAACCUCAAGACAACUGUUGUAUCAUAAACAUGGAUCUUUUGGUGAUGCUACCGGUUAUCCAUCCCUCAAGUUAAUAAUGUAUAGUUGAUGGGCAAGCAAUUAUUUCCCUAGCUAGUGGGGUUACAAAGUUGUAGUGCUGUCUGGAAUGUGGUUGGACAUGUCUUUAUGAGCAGCUGUUGACUGGCGCUUGUGACCUCACUGUGCAGACCCAAGUUUUGACUCGUACUAUCAGCCUGCACAGAGGGAACUGAAACUGACUUUGGAAGAGCCCCUUGUCAGUUACACACAGACUCACAGAGAAACACACACACUCAGUGGACAAUCUUCAGUUUGCUAAACUUUCCUUAGCGACUGUAGCUAAAUGCACUUUUGGCCUUAAUGGAUAUGAGGCUUCUUCUCCAGAAUUUGCUUUAAGGCUGUGGUGUUUCAACUCUCCUGUGAGUGUCUCCUUCUCGUGUUCUCUCAUAUAUCUGAUUUUAGGUUUUUAUUUUUAGCCUAAGAAAGCACUUUCCCUUCUUCUAAAUCCAUUACCUGGGGACAUGGGACAUGGCAGAGCUGUCCUGCAAACACUAAUACGUAAUACGAACAAUAUUUGAACAGAUCGUCUGGAUAAGGCCAUAGAACAGUGUGUAAUGACCUUGGGCUUUGCAGAAGGAAGCCAAAGCAAAGCUGUGUUGGGGAACAGUUGUAGCUGUGCAAAUCCCUACUCUGUCAGGAAAAAGGGGAUAGCUUCUAGGCAGCUGGGAAUGGGUGUGCCUUUUAAAGAAGAUGCAAAGGCUACCAAAGCCAGAGUCAGUUAAAUGUCCACAGUCAGUGAGAGCAGGUUCCCUGCCUCCCCCCCCCCACUCCUUAGGAGCACGUGGACAUAUUGAGUACCCAUAUUGGGCAUCUAGAGCGCCCAUAUUGGGAUGUGCUUUGAAAUGGUCAGGAAUAGGAAAGGAGAAUGUGCUGCUCUUGUAGAAAAUGGACAGAUCAUGCAAAGGGAAAAGAAGCUAGAGCCAGGAGGCUAAGGUUUAUAUUUAUUUAUUUUAAAUAUAUAUAUUUGCUGUCUUUCCAUAUAGAUAUGCUCAGGGUAACUUAAAUGAUAAGGGUAAGUCAGGGAAGAUGUGUUACGCAUCUGUUAAAUGCAUGUUGAAACAAAUAGGGCUUACAGCAAGAAUGGCUGCCUUCUCCCAAGAGAAAACUAACCUCCUGCCAGAAGCACUCUCAGCAGAGAAGACCAUGCCAAUAUGGCAUGACCAGGGCAGGUGUUACAGGACCAGCAACCUCUUGCUUCCUUUGUUGCCUGUUUCUAAAAUAGAAAAAAGGGAGUCAGUUCAGACAUUGUACAUACCACUACAUUUGUGCAAAUAACACUUGCACAAGUAGUCUACUCACGGUCAGUGUAAUGUCAGGUACACAUACCUGGGAAGUAGCAGUAGAAGCUCCUAUGAAUGGGAUGUGACAAGGGUAGGGAAAUCCUGGCUUAUAGAUGCAGUUGCUGUAACUUCUGUACACCCUUUUAUGACUGGCAGCAGGAGGGGUUAAAUUGUCCCGCAGCGUUUGAGCUGAUUUGAAAGUGGCAUUGUCAAGUUAGGUGCAGUCAUGAAGCUUAUCUGAACUUACCCUGCUCACUGGAGUACACCACUCCUGGGCUCAAUUAUUUUGUGCAAAUAAGCUGGUAGUUAUAGUUAAAGCUCAGAGUGUGUAACUAAAGUGAAUUGAUUUUUAACUGAAAUAACUUACUGGUUAACUUUCUGCCGAGGUAUCAAAAGUGACAUACAUAAAAUAUAAGGAAAAGCCCAAACAAUAUGACAAAAUGGCAAUGAAAAUUGAAAAGCAUCAACCCUAAACAUGCUUAAAAUAACAAACCAAAGACCCAGGAGCUGGCUGGUGCAUCAGCUAAGAGUUUAUUACUGGGGCCUAGAAAUCAGCAGGAAAGAUGCUCCAAAGGAGAGAGGCCACCUCUGACAAGUCCCAGUUUAGCUUGUCUCCAUCUUCUUCUCCUGCCUCUGUUGUCUCCCGUGUUUCAUUUAUAAGCUCUUCAGGCCAAGGACCCAACAUUCAUGCUUACCUGGUAAGGUGCUAUGCGCAUUGACAGCACCAUAUAAACAGCAACAACAAUAUAUGCACCAGCUCUUAUUUGUCCAUUAUGCUGAGAAAAUGCUUUGCUUUGCCAGAAUUUUACCAUGCAACAGGUGAAUUUGCCUCUUACAAAAUGUGCUUAUGUGACUGGAACUCCACCAUACAUUGUCUUUACCCUUCCACAGCAUCUCAGGGUGUAUGUGAUGAAGAGCCUUUGAGCAUGGAGGGAUUCUGCUGCAUUUUUCCUGCAGAGGAAACUUGCAGGCUCCUAGUGGGAGCUGAGUAAUGGUUCAGAAACAUCAUUUUAUUAAGGAAGGCGUGGUUCACUUGGAUGCUGAGCCCCCAUCGUGGCACAAAGAAAUCUCAGCAUCCUGAAAGCAGUUCCCUGUAGAAAGCCAUAUUUUGCACAAUUUAAUAUUAAUGGAAAUAUACACAGAAACAUUUUUGGAAAGGUGUUUUUUGGGGAAAGUGCAAGAUGGCUUUAAAAAGAGGGGCACAAUCCAGUAGGAAGGCUACAGUGUUGGAUCUGUUGCAUAGUUGGAGAGUGAACCAUUUUGGGGUACUUUCUUCUGCUUUUCAGACUCAUAUGGUCCAAUAACACAGUUUGAAGCAAGCAGUUUUGGUAUAACCAAACGUUUUCUGUAAUAAAGGGUAUGGUUUGAGGGUGCAUUUAGAGUCCUGCUGAGUUUUUGGCCCUGCCAAGCAAUUACCAGCCAAAUCAGGCAGGCCCCACCCCCACCCCCACCCCAGACACAAACCCCAAGCUUGGUUUUGUCAAGUUUUGAUUUUUCAUUCACCCAACAUGCUGGCCUAAGUUGUCCUAGCUAUACACAAUACAGGGUUCCUUGGGGAUGCCCAGUGCACCAGGCUCACAUCCUUCUCCUAGUGCUAGUCUUGGCCCAUUGGGGGUGGGGGAGUAAUGCACGUUCAAGGAGCUACAGUAUGAACUAGAGCUGUGCCCUGUUUGGUUUGCUAGGGCACUCCUCAUUUGUUAGGGAUGCUAUGCUUUACUUUAAAAGCCUCCCCCUUCUUGAGGGCCUUUAUUAAUCUCUUGUCUAGCCCAUGUGAAAGUCACGGCUUUCAGCUGUCCUCCUGCCAGCCUCAGCACUGCCUCUCUGCAACUGGCCAGCUGCCUUUGGCUUAGGACACAACUCUUGCAGAACACUUUAUUAAAACUGAAAACCUCCCUUUCAGAAGAAGCUAAGCAGAGACCAUUUUCUGAGUUGAUCUCAUUUUGAUUGCCCCCCCCAGCUUAGACCAGUUUUUUCUACAAGCCCAGGUGUGCUUGUUAACACCCCACAAACAAGUUAAAGGCGGCCUUGUGCACAUUGUCUUUUUGUACUAAGUUAUUUCCUUCUUCAGGAUUGUGUUUAUUUGUUUUCAGUGUCUGACCCAGAAAGUAACUUCUUCUGUUUGUAUGAACUGUGUUUUUUUUGGGGGGGGGGUUAUAGUUUUGAUCUGUGGAUCUGUGUGUGUUUUGUACCUGAGGUGAUGCAUCUGCUUUGGCUUGAAGGCAUCCUACAGACAGGAUGUCAAAAUCAGGGACUACUUCUGUAUCUGUUCUUUAGAAGAUAAAAAAUAAAUUAAAAACCUUCUAAGUGUA